AUGACGUACCCCUUUGUAGCUAAGGCUGGCUGUGGACUCAUUAUGUCACCUAUGCUGGCCUUGGUUGAGUUGAUGGUUAUCAAUCUGACUCAGAUUUUCCAAGUGCUGAAAUUGGUACCAGGGAUUAGGGUAAUCAAAACAUUGCCUGGAGAGUUAUCCAAAGGAGCAGUCCAGGCUCGAGGUAAGAAGCGCCCAGCACCAAUUCAAAACAGUGAUGGGGACGAGGAGGAAGACUCGGGGGAAGAUGAUGUGGUGACCCAGGGGGACCUUUGGGGCUCUGAGGACAGUGAUGAAGAUAUGGUGGAUGACUACAGAGCUGCCUCUAAUUUGGAGGAUGAGGAGGAAAAGCUGUUGCCUAUUGAAAGAGCUGCCCUGAAGCAGAAAGCCCAGGACGCCGCAGCUGGGGUCCAGUGGAGUCAAGAGGACACUGAUGAAGAUGAAGAUGAUGAUGGUGUGUCCCCUGAGUCCCACCCCAGAAAGGAUGACAAAGCAGAGGGGGAUUUGCAAAUUAAUGUGGAAGAUGAGGAAGCCUUUGUGCUGCCCCCUGCUGGGGAGAUGGACCAGGAUGGCCAGGCUCCAGACCUGCAGUGAGUUCACAAGCGGAUCCAGGACAUCAUGGGAGUGCGGGAUUUUGGAGCUCAGCGAGAAGAGGCCGGUCUCGAGCUGAGUAUCUAAGUCGGCUUCAAAAGGACCUGGCCACUUACUAUUCUUAUGGAGACUUCCUGUUGAGCAAGUUCAUGGAGCUGUUCCCUCUGUCUGAGUUGAUCGAGUUCUUAGAAGCUAAUGAGGUGCCCUGGCCAAUCACCCUUCAAACCAACACCUUGAAAACCCGUCGCCGAGACCUUGCUCAGGCUCUGAUAAAUCGUGGGGUUAAUCUGGAUCCACUGGGGAAGUGGUCAAAGUCUGGGCUUGUGGUAUAUGAUUCUUCAGUGCCUAUUGGCACUACCCCCGAGUACCUCGCUGGACACUAUAUGCUGCAGGGAGCUUCCAGUAUGUUGCCUAUCAUAGCCCUGACACCUCAGGAACAUGAGCGGAUCUUAGACAUGUGCUGUGCUCCUGGGGGGAAGACCAGUUACAUAGCUCAGCUGAUGAAGAACACAGGAGUGAUCCUUGCCAACGAUGCCAAUGCAGACCGGCUCAAGAGCGUGGUGGGCAACCUGCACCUCUUGGGAAUCACCAACACCAUCAUCAGCCACUAUGAUGGGCGCCAGUUCCCCAAGGUGGUGGGGGGCUUUGAUCGAGUGCUACUGGAUGCUCCUUGUAGUGGCACAGGACUCAUCUCCAAAGACCCUGCUGUGAAGAUGAACUAGGAUAAGAAAGACAUCCAGCACUGUGCCCACCUUCAGAAGGAACUGCUGCUCAGGAACUAUCGACUCAGUGAACGCUGCCUCCAAGACCGGAGGCUACCUGGUCUACUGCACCUGUUCCAUUACGGUGGAAGAGAAGAAGAGGAAUGUGCGGCUGGUGCCCACCGGCCUCGACUUUGGCCAGGAAGGUUUUACCCGCUUCCAAGCAAGGCGCUUUCACCCCACUCUGCGUUCCACCCGACGCUUCCACCCUCACACUCACAAUAUGGACGGUUUCUUUAUCGCCAAGUUCAAGAAAUUUUCCAAUUCUAUUCCCCAGCCCCAUGCAGGAAACCUGGCAGCAGCUACCCCUACAGAGCCUAACCUGAAGGAUCAGGUCACCCCAAAGUCUGAGAACGGUAGUCAGCCCACCAAGAAAGCCCGUGGGGCUGUGAAGGCAAAGUAGCAGUUGCUGAGACAGCCACAUUCCAAGAAGNCCUUCCAGAAGUUGAACGGCAUCGCCAAAGGGCCAGGCUUGUCCACUGAGCCUUCUGUCCCAGAUGCCCAAGUGUCCGCCAGGCCCAGUCAGUCUGCUGGGAAAGCCGAUGUGAGCAGGAAACGAAAGAGGGCUGAGAAGCUGAAGCAGCGGGGACCUAAAUGGAAGCCCUCCAAGGAGGCUGCUGUCCCAAAGAAGAGCCCCCCCUUCCAGGAGUGAGGACUGGGGGACACCUCCUGUGCCGACUCCCUCUGAAAUUCAUGCAGCCCCAAGACCUAAGGACUGUGCUCCAUCCCUUGGGAAAGCCAAAAAGAAACAGAAAGGAAAGCAGCAGUUAGCACAGCAGCCUGCCAACGGAGCUGCUCCCCUGAAAGAAGAUGCUGUUCCUAAGGGACCCUCAGCCCCCUUUGUGUCUCCCCACAGUUCCACCAGGCCACCACCAGCAAAAAGGAGGAAAUCAAUGACAAAGGGCAGCAGCCAGCCUCUGUUGUCUUAA